GACGAACGCUGGCGGCGUGCCUAAUACAUGCAAGUCGAACGCAGUGGGGACGGGUGAGUAACACGUGGGUAACCUCCCAUCAGAGGGGAUAACACUUGGAAACAGGUGCUAAACCGAUACUGAUGGAUGGACCCGCGGUGCAUUAGCUAGUUGGUGAGGUAACGGCCUACCAAGGCCACGAUGCCUAGCCGGCCUGAGAGGGUGAUCGGCCACACUGGGACUGAGACACGGCCCAGACUCCUACGGGAGGCAGCAGUAGGGAAGAUUGGGCAAUGGGCGAAAGUCUGACCGAGCAAUGCCGCGUGAGUGAAGAAGGUUUUCGGAUUGUAAAGCUCUUUCGGUCGAGAAGCGGUAUCUACACAGAAAGCCCCGGCUAACUACGUGCCAGCCGCCGCGGUAAUAC
rnacentral:rRNA from 1 species